CCGCCGGCGACCGGCGCACGGGUGAGUAACACGUAUGAAACCUGCCCGUAGCAGGGGGAUAAGCGGAAGAAAUUCCGUCUAAUACCGCGUAACAACCCAUGGAGGCAUCUCUGUGGGUUUAAAGGAAGCGAUUCCGGCUACGGAUGGUCAUGCGUCGCAUUAGCUUGUUGGCGGGGUAACGGCCCACCAAGGCGACGAUGCGUAGGGGUUCUGAGAGGAAGGUCCCCCACACUGGUACUGAGACACGGACCAGACUCCUACGGGAGGCAGCAG
rnacentral:rRNA from 1 species